rnacentral:misc_RNA from 1 species
AGCAGCCGCGGUAAUUCCAGCUCCAAUAGCGUAUAUUAAAGUUGUUGCAGUUAAAAAGCUCGUAGUUGAAUUUCGGGAUCAAUAUGUUGGUCGUGCCUCGGUACGUACUAGCUUAUUGGUUUCUCCUUUCUGAAGAACCAUGAUGUCAUUUAUUUGGUGUCGUGGGGAAUCAGGACUGUUACUUUGAAAAAAUUAGAGUGUUUAAAGCAGGCUCGCGCUUGAAUACAUUAGCAUGGAAUAAUGAAAUAGGAUGUUUGAUUCUAUUUUGUUGGUUUCUAGGAUUGACGUAAUGAUUAAUAGGGAUAGUUGGGGGCAUUAGUAUUCAAUUGUCAGAGGUGAAAUUCUUGGAUUUAUUGAAGACUAACUACUGCGAAAGCAUUUGCCAAGGAUGUUUUCAUUAAUCAAGAACGAAAGUUAGGGGAUCGAAGACGAUCAGAUACCGUCGUAGUCUUAACCAUAAACUAUGCCGACUAGGGAUCGGAUGAUGUU